rfam:Thioclava dalianensis strain DLFJ1-1 contig7, whole genome shotgun sequence.
GGGGCUGUAGCUCAGAUGGGAGAGCGCGUCGUUCGCAAUGACGAGGUCAGGGGUUCGAUCCCCCUCAGCUCCA